AUUAACUAGUUAAUGAACUCAAGUUGCUCAGCUAAUUAUUUGCAAUUGAAUUCAACUAAAGAUGUACUACUAUCAACGUGGUAGUACUGUCUAAGGAAGCUAUAAUGAGUUCCAACUUGGUCUGUUAAUCAAUGACAACUGGAUGAAGCUAAGAAUGUACUAUGAAUGGAUAGAUGGACCGGUUUGGCUUGUCACAACCAUUACAUUUGCACAGACUAUUGCAAGUACGUAUUGCUCAUCGCCUCGUGGACAUUAUACCGACGGAAGCUUGUGUGAUGUAGCCAUGAUCUAAUCUACAGGAGACAUGUUGUUCUCCAUGUAGCGAGUAGGUCAGAUAGCUCCAUGUCCAUAGCUUGUAAGCUUCCUCUUACCUAGGUCAGCCACUAGGCACGCAAAUUACCAAUCCUUGAUAGAAUUGUAAUCGGAGAGAUUCUCUCACGCGCGCUAUUAUACUAAGCAUGGUCAUCGUCCAGCGGAGCGAUCACAGGCAGUGCCGCAAAAUCCGUUGCGGGCCUGGUGCCCGCCAGUACUGCUAGCAUUUCCUACGUUGUCUUCACCAAAGUCUUCUAGAUGCCCCAACUUGGAUGUCCAUUCCUGUACGUACGAAACCAGGCAUGCCCCGUUGGUUUCCAAUUGGAUGGUGCCAAGAACUCCAUGUGGAGUCGUCCCCGGACUCAGAGGGACUCGGAGCCCGAGAUGUGACGAUGUGGGCGGAUGUAACGAACGUCAUCAACAUUACCAAGGUUAUCACUCAUGUGAAUGUUUGUACUCUUAGUUGUGGCAUUUCCUAUUUACACAAAUGAGCCAAACAGUUCCUUACUCGUAGCCCGCGCACAUAACACAUCCGACCGACCCAUGCAACCAAAGAACUGGGUGGAUAUGUUUAAUUUUGGGGACAUUCUAGAAUCUUCCUCCUCUCCGUAUUGUCUUUCUUAUCAUUUUUUAAUCUGAUGGUUCAUCGGAUUUUAUUUACUAUUUAACUAGCAAAAAAAUAGAUCAUGAAAAUUUCAAAUUGUUUAAAAUCCAAGAACAUAUUUUAAAAUUCGUGAACUUUUCAAAAAAAAAAUAAUGAAAUGGUGAACAUGUUCAGUAUUAUGGAACUCAUUCAAGUAUUUUCCUUUAUCGAUGGUUAGGGAGUUAGUAGUAUUCUCGGGCCAUCAGACAUGAAACAUCAGAUUCGAUGACAUGUGUGUCUUUUUAAAAAGGGUAUUUGUUUCAAUGCAAGGCAACUUCCCAUCAUAGGUACGGUGGUGACCCUCAUGACUUUGUCAAUGUUCAAGCUCAGCGAGUUUAGUCCUCAUUAUAUGACGUAUCGGGGGGUGGGGCAUGUUUGAGAUAUACAUUCUAUCAGAAAAUGUUAGUUAAUUUUAUUAUAUACCUAAAUACAGAAAACUCAUUUUUAAGUAAUUAAUUGUAAAACUAAUAUAUAUGUCUUAUUUGCAUGUUAUUCUACAUGAUAAUCCAUGCCAUCUAAAUGUUGACAUUGGACCACCAUUUGAAAUUCUUACUAGUUCAUACAAUUGCGUACUAAGUUAGCUCAUGUUAUUAAUACUGGUCAAGUAGCC
rnacentral:lncRNA from 1 species